GCGAGUCGCUGAGAAAAGAAGGAGCUGUGGAGAAAAGCGGCAGGAAGCCGGCGGGUGGUCCGCCGGCGCCCGAAUGCUGACCGUCCGGGGGCGUCCCCGGCGGCUUCCACCGGUCCCGGAGGCUCGGAAGGCGAAGGGGGACCGGACCGCGCGGAUUGGCACGGCUGAGGCGGCAGCACCUCCACGUCCCGACGAUGCACCUCACCUCAUCCACACGCAGCGCCCGCCGAGGCGUUCCCCGAGCACGUCGGAGAGGCUCCCCGGCCUAGGUUUUGUUGCCUCCUGCCCUGGGAUACAAUUCUGUGUGGUCUUACAGCUACAUAAACACUGGUGCCAAGGUGUCUCAGAUGCUUACCAGAGAUAAGAAAAUAGGCUCCAGGAAAGUGGUAUUGCACCUGCCCUUGUCAUUUAUUAACCAGGUAUGUGUCUCUCUAUAGUUGUGUUUAUGGCUUCCUCCUUUUCUCAUCAUUCAUUUUGUUUUCAUUGAAAAGGCCCUUGACCACAUACUCUUAAAGGAACAGAUGUUUUCUCCUUCCAUAUAAUUUUACAGUAUUUACUGGAUAUCAGAUCUUACUCUGGUUCUGGUCCAAAUGAGCUGAAUAGAUCUCUUGGCAUUUAUCUCCAACCCUGUGAUAUGAAAAACAUAAGAUUGUGUCAAUGUAGGUGUAACAGACAUUUUAUUGUUACAGCAAGACUGAAAUAUUCUUUGUACUGCACGAUUGUUGGAAAUUACAGUUCUUUCACAUACAACUUCAGUCAGUUAUGAAUAACUAGUCCUGUAAAGGUUUGGACAACUCUUUUUUAGUAAUAGCCAAUAUUCCAAUAUAAUUUUGAAAAGAAAAAUAUAUAUAUAUUAUGCCAUUAUUAUGAUUUAAAUAAAAAUGUAUAUUCCUCCA
rnacentral:lncRNA from 1 species